rnacentral:misc_RNA from 1 species
UGCAAGAUUAUGAAGCUAUCCCUGCAUUAGCAGCAGUUCUAAAUGAUCUUUCCUUGCAUCCAAUUGUUCGUCAUGAGGCUGCAGAAGCUCUUGGUGCAAUUGGAUUAGAGAGCAGUGUUCCUCUUUUGAAGAAUAGUUUGUCUGUAGAUCCAGCUCAGGAGGUUAGAGAAACUUGUGAACUGGCUCUCAAGCGAAUUGAGGAAAUGAAUGCUACAGGCACUUGUGAUGAAUCAUCUACAACUGAAAAAUCACCCUUUAUGUCAGUUGACCCAGCUGCUGCGGCUGCUUCUUGUUUUUCUGUUGUUAUGCUGAGGGAAGCUCUCUUGGAUGAAGAAAAGGGCAUGUAUGAGCGCUAUGCUGCUCUUUUUGCACUUAGAAAUCAUGGUGGAGAAGAAGCUGUUUCUGCUAUAAUUGAGUCUUUGGGUGGAAAAAGUGCUUUGCUUAAGCAUGAGGUUGCUUAUGUUUUGGGCCAGUUGCAGAACAAAGCUGCUUCAGCUGCACUUAGCAGAAUACUUAAGGAUGUAAAUGAGCAUCCAAUGGUUAGANNNNNNNCAUGAGGCUGCUGAAGCUCUUGGUUCUAUUGCUGAUGAACAAAGUAUUGCACUUCUUGAGGAAUUUUUGAAGGAUCCUGAGCCUAUUGUAUCACAAAGCUGUGAAGUUGCCCUGAGCAUGCUAGAAUAUGAAAGAUCAGGAAAAUCAUUUGAGUACUUAUUUAUGCAAGAUCCUUUAGCACAAGCAUAAAUGGAUCAUCCAUCUUCUGGAAACUCCCUUAACAGAUGUUCAAGUUUCAAAUCAUCUCAUCAACGCAUUCCUUGUGAAGGCAGUGUUUGUGGAAGAGAGUGUCAGCAGAAUAACAGAAGAUAACUAGGAGAGAAUUAUAUACUCAGAAAUUCAGAACUAGUCUUUUUCAAGCUGUACUAAUGUAAUUCUGUUGGUGACAUUGGAUCUAAUUGUGGUAAAUUUUCCCAUAACUAUUGGAUUCUUAACUUUGCG